UCGAGAAUCACUCACAAUGGGGGAAACCCUGAUGGUGCGACGCCGCGUGAGGGAAGAAGGUCUUCGGAUUGUAAACCUCUGUCAUGUGGGAGCAAGCUCGUGAGAGUCGAUAGUACCACAAGAGGAAGAGACGGCUAACUCUGUGCCAGCAGCCGCGGUACUACGUAGGGGGCAAGCGUUGUCCGGAAUUACUGGGCGUAAAGAGCACGUAGGCGGUAACCUAAGUCAGAUGUGAAAGACCAGGGCUUAACUCUGGGGUUGCAUACGAAACUGGGUAACUAGAGUGCAGGAGAGGAAAGUGGAAUUCCUAGUGUAGCGGUGAAAUGCGUAGAUAUUAGGAGGAACACCAGUGGCGAAGGCGGCUUUCUGGACUGUAACUGACGCUGAGGUGCGAAAGCCAGGGGAGCGAACG
rnacentral:rRNA from 1 species